rnacentral:rRNA from 1 species
AGACGUCUACGUAGUUUGACUCCGUGGCUCAGUAUUGAACGCUGGGCGGCAUGGCUAAUGCAUGCAAGUCGAACGAAAGCCCUUCGGGGCGAAAGUGGCGAAAGGGCGAGUAAUACGAUCGAACGUACCCCAAGGUGGAGGAUAGUGUCGGGAAACUGACGGUAAUACUCCAUGUGCUCUUCGGAGGAAAGCUUUGGCGCCUCGGGAGCGGCGAUCGUCCUAUCAGGUAGUUGGUGAGGUAAUGGCUCACCAAGCCGAAGACGGGUAGCGGGUGUGAGAGCAUGACCCGCCGCAUCGGGACUGAGACACUGCCCGGACUCCUACGGGAGGCUGCAGCGACGAAUCUUCCGCAAUGGGCGCAAGCCUGACGGAGCAAUGCCGCGUGUGGGACGAAGCGUCUUCGACGUGUAAACCACUGUCAGAAUCUAGGAACACUGACCAGAUUCAAAGGAAGGGCCGGCUAACCUCGUG